rnacentral:lncRNA from 1 species
CAUGAAUGUCAGAGACGAGGAGAACGGCAAGGUUGGAGUGAGGCGAGCCAGUGACAUAGGAGUCGAGACCGCCGAGGUUUUCGACAUGGCCGGUGCCGCUGGAGGGGUUCAGGGUCGGAGGGUUUGAGCAGCACUGAGAGCUUGCCAUGAUCUCUGAAUUCACACUCUUUGUUGGUGUUUGAUUGAGCUACUACUAAUACACUAGUAGUACGGUACUACCCCAUAAUAUUAAUAUGUCAACCACUUUUUAGGGUUGAAUUUAUGAUUUGUUUUGAAAUGACGGGAUGAAUGCGUAAGCCUGAUGCGAAAAUCAAAGACUCCAAGACUGGUACUCCAAACCCAGCAAGUGAAAGUACGUUAUGUGAGUUGAGCGAACAGUCAACUGACUUGUAGUGUGCAACUGUGCAUGUCCAUCAGAUAGUCAUAUCUAAUAAUUGUUCAGAUAACUGUAUUGGAGGAGAUGGUAUUUAUAAUAUUCACAAAAUUAUCGAUAUUUUUGUUGAAAUAUGUAAAAAAUCAAAUAUCGAUAUGGAAAGAGAUGAAAUGCAAACUUUACUUUGUAUUGACGAGAUAUACAAAAAUCAAUAAAAAUUGACGAUAUUUACCAAUUUAUUACAAAAGUUUUGUUGAAACCCAUUGCAGAUUUUGAACUUUUACAAAAAAAAAUUGAGAAUUUUUUAUCUAAUUUCGACUAACUUUGAAUGAAUUGAUAUACGCCCCCGUUGCAACUUUCUAUAAUUUAUGUCGAAGACAACUAAUAUUUCUAUAAUUUGCAUAUCGACAUUUCCACCUACAUCGGUAUUCUAAAUACUGAUUGGAGAAAAACGCUUAAUGUGUGGUUCUGUUCAGAUGAUUGGAUUUGAAUAACCAAAAAAGUUUUUUUUUUGGUAAUACCAUCCACACACUCAUUUUCACUUCUUACAAGACUCCUCUUAAUUUUUGGUCAUUAGAUCGAAUAAAUUGAAGAAGAUCAAUGACAAAAACUUAACAAUAAUGUGUGAAAAGUAAAAAAAAAAAAAGUGUGAAUAACACUCUUUUUCUUUUAUGAUGCACCACUCAAAUUCAUCAAACUUAUUAGCAUGAAUUAUACCACUCACCAAAUGCCAAACCUAAAAGCACCCACUUUUCCAAGCAACAAAUUUUACAUACAAAUAAUGGUACCAUAAAAUAGUAGACAUUAUUCUUAUUCAUAGUAAGAGCACUUCCACCCCUAAAAAGCCUCCUGAGCAAUAGUGGACAUUAUUCUUAUUAAUCCCCCAAUUGAACCUGUUCAAAUACAUCUCCAUCCUAAAUUGAAUAGCCAAGAAAUUUGUAUUAAAAUAUUAUUAAUAUUUUUUGAUAAAUAAUAAAAAAAUCAUUUAUUUUAAUUUCAGAUAGGAUUUUAACCAAACUCGUCACUCCAUGUGUUUUUAUCCGAAAGUACAAUUUUUAUAGAUAGAUUUUCGAAUAGAUUUUUAACCAAUUUCGUAGUGCCAAGUGUCAUGAUUUUGUAAGAAUUUUGUGAAUAAAUUUCCAUUAAGAUUUUUAACCAAUCACAUUGUGUCACUUGUCACUAUCCGUUUAGAAUCUUUGAAAAUAGAUUUCAAUAAGAUUUUUAAUCAAUCAUGGCGUGCCACGUGGCAAGCAAUGAGAUUGUUUGAUCUCGACGAGGGUGAAAAUGCGUUGUUUGAAAUAGAAGAGAAAGAGGAUGAAGAACGUAGAAGUGAGAGAGCCUCACAUUCCCGUCGUGUCAUGCAAGUUGUGGGUGAGAUCCCCAAACCCAGGCGUUCCGCAAACCUCAAUAGAAAGACGGAACAUCGAGGUAAGGACCUUUUAAACAAUUAUUUUAUCCUAAACAAUGCAUACCCUAAUGCGUAUUUUAGACGUCGUUUUAGAAUGCAAUGAAGUUUGUUAACAAAAUCAUGAUUGCUGUUUGCAGCCAUGAUCUAUAUUUUGUGUAAAAGAAGAAUGCUUUUCAUGUUAUGAGCCUCAUUCUUGGGCAAAAAAUUACUAUUGCAAAAGAAGGAUUUUUAUUUUUUUUAUUUUAUAUUUUUAUGUAUUAUUUUAAUAAUUUUUUAUUAACUUAAUUAAUUUGGACCGUUGGAUUAUAAAAAAAAUUAAAAUCCAACAGGUCAUACUUUGACACAUGGCCAAUGGUAACAUUUCUGAUUUUUUUUUCCAUAUUUUUUGUUUUUCGUUUUUUUAAGCCAGAAAACCUAGACCGUUGAUUGGAAAUCAAACGGUCUAGAUUGUGCCAUGUCAUCUAGCUGUUGGGGUUAGAUUUCAAUUUUUUUUACCAUUGAAAAUCCAACAACCUAGAAAAAUAGCUAUUGGAAAUCCAAUGGCCUAGCAUGUGCCAAGUCACCCUUUAUCCGAACUCAUUAAUGCGCUUGUACGCGAGUCUCAUGCAUUGUAGUGGUGUCGGAGACGCGCGCCAACUCGUGGGUGUUUUCUACGCGCCUGGUGCAAAUUUUUUUUUUCUAACAUGGUUGACAUCAGCCUUAUGUCAAAUGGCCUAGGAGAUGGGCUUGUUGAUUUCUGCCUAGGUGAACAAUUAGGCUCCCUUGGAGCUUAGUGGAUUACAAAGGGCUGGAGGAGCUUUGGGGGUGGGGAGUGGAUUUUAUCCACUAUCUCCUAGGGAAUUUUAUAGGGUUGGAAGUGCUCUAAAUAGAAUACAAUUGAUACGAUAAGGUUUAAAUUAUUUUCUUCUUUCCUUGACAAUAAGAUGCUUCAUAAUGAUGACGAUACCAUUCACUUGACAUCGUUCAAGAACCGUUCUAACAAAUCUUACCUCGUGGCCCACCGACUCCACCCGUGUUCCACUUUCGGGAAAAUCUCCACACGUCUUUUAAUCUAUGAUUCCUUAUAACCAAUAGUCAUAUUCUAAUGGCUUUUUAGCCAAAAUGGUCUAUGAGAUUUACAUAACUCCUUAUUUUGGUCUAUGAGAUUUGAAAUUAAUAGAAGUGGUUCCUGAGUUUGUCUACCAUCAAUCAUUUUGGUCAUUCCUUGAAAAAAAUUCAUUACAUAAGGAUAAAAUGACAAAAAUACCUGUAAUUUUUGUUAAAUGAUUUUGGUCCAUUGUUUAUUAAAUUAAGGAUAUUUUUGUCAUUUGGUCCUUAUUUAACAUAAUUUUUCAAGGAAUAAUCAAAAUGAUUGAUGGUGGACAAACUUAUGGACCAUUUCUAUUGAUUUUAAAUCUCAGAGACUAAAAUAAGGAGUUAUGUAAAUCUCAAGGACCAUUUUGGCUAAAAAGCCAUUAGAAUAUGACUAUUGGUUAUAAGGAAUCGCAGAUUAAAAGACGUGUGGAGAAUUUCCCGAAAGUGGAACAUGGGUUGAGUCGGUGGGCCACGAGGUAAGAUUUGUUAGAAUGGUUCUUGAAUGAUGUCAAGUGAAUGGUUGAUGCAAGAGGAUCAAAGCUCAAGUAUCCAAGUGGAAAAUCAUCCUCUAACAAAAUCACAUCAACAACUUGGGCCAGAACUAAGAACAUACUUUGGAAGAAAGAGGCAAUUUCUAUAAAAGGACAGUGAAGAGAUUAAAGAAAUGACACUUAACCCAACAUACAAAAUGACUUCUAAAAUCUCUGCAAUGUACUUUUCACAUAUUCCUUUUGUGGUUCAAACAUUCCCUUGUAUUUACAGCUCUGCUACUUCUUUGUUGUAUCGAUAUCCUGUAUUAAAUUUUACUUCUCAAAACGCUCCAUGUACUCGGCAGAACUUAUCCGAAUAGGUUGAAACUUUGCCUAAUCGCUUGUAUUUAUCAUUUACUUUCAAGUUAUUACUUUUCAUUCAAUUUAUUGUCAUUUUGGCUAACACUUUACGAGAAUUUACAAGCUCUUUACUUUCAACUUUUUACUUAUCUUUGCUUCACUUUGCUUUAUCUCCUUAAUCUUUCACAAAGAUUGCAAACUGGCUUGGAUCGUUUCUGAUUAGUUUGCGAUCAUUGUUUUGGCAUUCAACAAAAGAAAAAUAUAAAGUCCUUGUCUUCAAGGCAUGGAAAAGAACCUAAUAUGAAUUUAACCCCUCCAUUAAACAAUCUUUUCUAAGAGGCUCAGUUUACUUGCGGAUCAACAAAUGACCUAUAAACAUCUAAACUAAUUAAACAACCUGUUGGACUUGACUAGUAAUGGCACGCUUGACAAUAACUAACUUUGCAAGAAAACCUAAGAGCCUAUUCAAGGUUUUGUCAAGACACCUUCAAUUAACUCAGUGUUUACCACCCGCGGGAAGAGUGUGGGGAUCUUGCACCCCAACAAGAGUGUUUCCAUGAAGGAUAUUUCCUAUCCAACAGGGUCUUCUCCGGAUCCUUUUGGUGAGGAUCCUGAGGAUCUGUGAAUUGUGUCUGUUCAUCGUAUAUCGUGCAGUCAGUUUUUGUUAAGUACUGUUUAUGUUUAUGUUUAUUUUUAAAUAAAAAGAUUUAAAAUGAUUUUUGACCGCACUAUAUACAAUGAAUGGACACAAUUUACGGAUUCUCGGGAUCCUCACAAAGAGGAUCCGACAAGGAUCCAGACUUAUUUCCUACCUCAUAUUUUGCAGUUAAAGCGUCCUCAAAUUGUUGUACAACUUCAGGUGGGGACAUAUUUGUUAGCAUGCAUCAAUUUAUUGAAAACCAAGUGACAGCUCAACAAGUUAAUUAGUGUAAACAUGAGUAGUUAGGUGAUUACCGAUAAUAGUGAUUAGUAAUUUGUGUAUAUAAAUAAAUAUGUUUUCCAGUUUUAAAUUUUCAAACUCCACUCUUUACCGCACACAUUUCUUGCGGUUCCACCAACAUUCGUUUACAGUUGCUCAUCCCUAUUUUCUCUUUUGUAUUUCCCCUCUGUUCCAAACCAAAAUGUGAAAACUAUUAUCAUGUAUGGGAAACAAAAUUAUCAAGUUUAUAAAACUCUCUUUUUUGGUGGGGGGCACACCCAUAGGGCAUCUGCAACUAGUACUAUACUUACAUGACGCCCAAAUGGUGUUGGGGGUUCCUACGGGUUACAUGGAGGAGACUGGUCGAGAACCUUCAGUUCAAACUAUUGCGUGAGUCAAUCUAUAGGAAAAGGGAAUGUAAAUAUUAGAGUCAUUUUUUUAGGAAGGUAAUAUUAGUGUCCUUUAUUGUUUCCUUAUGUAAUAAGGAUUGUAUGUACUUAUAUUCAACAUUAUGGAAUACAUGGAAGUUAAGCCGUAAAAUUCUAUUUGGCAUCGAAAACUUGAUGCCGUAACCUUAAACGGAAAACAAUUUAUGUACCGUGCCGCUACUACAAGGGUUGUGCUUGUUGCCUUGUCGUGGGUCUUGUGUCCCUGCCAUGUUUCUUUUUUUUGCUAUUCGCAGGAAAUUGUUGUGUUGUUGUGUGUGUCGUGAAUCAAGAUGGCUAGUGUCGUAGAAAACUUACGGUUGAAGUUGGAGGGGGUCUACGUACAAUCACCGACAAUUCAGUUGUGAACCCUGUUGUGAUACAUAUUGAUGCUUCAAACGUACCGAAUACCGUAAAACUCAAUGGAUCAAAUUACCCUCUUUGGUCCAGAAUAUUAGAGAUGCAUAUCAUUGGGCGUGGUUAGAAAGGGUUUGUGAUAGGGAAUAUUAAGGAGCCUAAGCAAGAAAGUGUUGAGUAUGAAGCUUGAGAAAUUGGGAAUGCAAUUGUGAAAUGGUGGUUGAUUAAUUCCAUGGAUCCUACCAUUAUGAGUUUUUUCAUCCAUCUUCGUACUGCUAAAGAAGUGUGGGAAGAAGUUGCUUGGACAUAUUAUGAUGGUUCUGAUAUCUCUCAAAUUUAUGAGUUGAAGGUAAAAUCAUUUCGACUCUAUCAGGAAGGGAGUUCUAUUGGUGUGUACUAUGCUGAUCUCAAGGUAGUAUGGCAAGAACUGGAUCAAAGAAGACCGAUUAAGAUGGAGUGUGCUCUUGAUUUGAAGGCGAUCUAGGGGAGAUCCAAUUGGACCGAGUGUAUGCCUUCUUGGCGGGACUUGAUGAUGUAUUUGAUAAGGUACGUAGUGAUAUUUUGAGAACUCAACCCCUACCAUCUGUCGAUGAGGUGUUUUCUGUGAUUAGGUGUGAAGCCCAACAUCAUGCUACCAUGAUGGGAGGAAGUGGUGUCGACAGCGACAGUAGCCAUGGUGCCUCGGCCAUUCCCUGCUGGCCGGCCAUAUACAUCACCUUUUUCGACAACUUCUCGUCCUUUAACUCGAGAAAAUAAAGAUGAUUUAAAAUGUACUUUUUGCGGUCAAACCCGUCAUACUGAGGAUAACUGUUUUAAAAAACAUGGAGUCCCUGAGUGGUUUUUGGAACUGAAGAAAAAGUUACAUGCCAAGGAGCGUGCUGCUAAUGGAACAAGUGGAAGCCAUGCAUCUGUUGCCAUUGCCGGACCUAGUGUUAAGGAAGCCGUGCCUACCCAUGGAGAUCUAAGUCAACGUUUGUUGACUAGGACCACUCCUAGUGAAUCACCGUCCAAUGCAGGUAGUAUGAGGCGUGUUUUCUUAGCAUCUGACAUGGAACAUCAUACAGGUUGGAUUUUAGACUCUGGUGCAACAGACCAUAUGACCUUUGACAAAACUUUGUUUACUUGUAUGACAAUGACUCCUCGGAAGUGUGUAGCAACGGAGAACGACACCACUGCACCGGUUCUGGGGGCCAACAUUGUGGACCUCACACCGGUCUUCUCCCUUCAUCACUGCUUGCUUGUUCCAUCGUUAUCUCAUAAUUUGUUAUCUAUUCCUCAAGUUACUGAGCAAUUAGAUUAUGUUGUACUUAUGUAUCCACUUAUUUAUUUACUUCACGAUAUUCAGACCAAGGAGAUCAUUGGGCGUGGCACUAAGAAAGAGGGGUUGUAUUAUGUGGAUGACAUUAUUCCUAGCAGAGCUAAUGCAGUUCAAGCAUCCCAUACCAAUAAUUUACAAGAAUUUUGGUUAUUGUAUCGUUUGUUAGGACAUACUUCGUUUGGUUAUUUAAGGCGUAUGUUGCCUAGUUUAUUUCAUGAAAUAAAAUAAUCAGAUUUACAUUGUGAAGUAUGUAUUCUUGCAAAGAGUCAUCGUGCUUUGUUUUCUCCUAGUAUGAAUAAAAGAUUUUUUUUCCAUUUGAUCUUGUGCACUCUAAUGUUUGGGGUCCCUCCCUUGUUACUACGCUUUCUGGUUUUAAAUGGUUUGUUACCUUUGUUGAUGAUUGCACCUGUAUGACUUGGAUAUAUGUGAUGAAGAAUAAAAGUGAUGUUAGUAUGUUGUUCCGGUUUUUCUCUCAUAUGGUUACAACACAAUAUUCCUCUGUUAUUAAAGAUCUCUGCUCUGAUAAUGGAGGUGACUAUAUAGGUGUCGAGUUAUCUGGCUUUCUUCAGGAUCAAGGAAUUCUUCAUGAAACUACUUGUCUACAUACUCCGCACCAAAAUGGGUUUGCUGCGAGAAAGAAUCGUCAUAUUUUGGAAACUGCUAGUACCUUCCUUAUUGGUGCAUCUGUCCCUAAACGUUUUUGGCAUGAAGCCGUUACUUAUGCCGUGUAUGUGAUUAACUGUAUACCAUCUCGGGUUGUGGACUUCCAUACACCUCUCCAAGUCUUGACUGAACAUGUUCCCAUAGUAUCUACCAAUACCUUAACUCCUCGUGUGUUUAGAUGUGUUGCAUAUGUUCAUAUCCACAAGAUUCAUCGUAGCAAAUUGGAUCCGUGUGCCCUUUGAUGUGUAUUUGUUGGGUUUGCCUCUCAACAAAAAGUGUACUAGUGUUAUCAUCUUGAAACUCGCCAUAUGUGUGUGACCAUGGAUGUUACUUUUUCUGAAUCUGAGCACUUUUAUUCUUCUACCCCGUCAUCUUCAAAUCACCAGGGGGAGAACACUAGUGGUGAUCAGAAUGAUCUUGGAUGGUUAGAGAUACCAUAAAUUAUGAUAUGUAGUUCAGGGGGAGCAUGUGUUGACUAUAAUGAAAAUAAAGGGAAUCGACAAGAAGCUGUCAAGAUAAUGAACCAGCCACUUCAGCCGCUGUCUGCCAAGGCAGGUGCAGCACUUCAGUGAGAGUUUGCCAAGACAGGUACAGAAGAUCAGCGAAAGUCUGCCGAGACAGGUACAACAGAUUGGUAAAGUCCUGCCGAUCUAAGUCCAACCGCCUAGCAGCUAGUUGCUGCCGAACUAAGUGCAGUAGGGGAAAUAGUGUUAUCUGCCGAACCUCCAUUACCCUCUCUCUCUAGCUCAUUGCUCAAUGUGUUUUCUUUGAAUAUCCUUAAGGUAAGUACAACGGAUGAUCAUGUAACUAAUCCAAAUAAUAUUGUAAGUACAUAUAAGUUGCCGCUAAGGUAAAAUCGUGGUGUUCCGCAUGAUAGGUUUUUUCUCGAAGGAAAAGUGAAGUAUCCAGUAGCAAAUUAUGUGUCAUGCAAGAACCUUGCACUGGAACGUCAAGCAUGGGUGAAUAAUGUGGAAGCAGUUCAAGUACCAACCCGAGUUAAGAAGGCAUUGAAGGAUCCGAAAUGGGCUGCUGCAAUGGAUAAAGAAAUGAUGGCACUACAUGAGAAUGAUACAUGGGAAGUAAUGGAACUACCGAAUGGGAAAAGGCCGGUCGGAUGUAGAUGGGUUCUUACAAUUAAAUACAAGGCCAACAUAUCAAUAGACAGGUAUAAACCAAGGUUAGUGGCAAAAGGUUAUACUCAAACGUAUGGUGUUGAUUACCAGGAAACAUUUUCUUCAAUAGCAAAGAUGAAUACAAUACGAGUUCUUAUUUCACUAGCUGCAAAUUUGAAUUGGCAACUGAAACAAUUUGAUGUUAAAAAUACUUUUCUUCAUGGGCAUUUGGAAGAAGAAGUGUGUUUAUACCAUAUUUAGGGCCUCGUAUUUAGAUCUCGUACAAAUACUCAGGGGACUUAAAUGUAAUUAUGGGAUAAAGGAAGGGGCAAAUAUGUAAUAAGUGAGGAGUCCUUAUUCUAUAAAAGGACCCCUCACCCUCACAAUUAGGAAGAGGCUCAUUCUCACCCUCAGAGGCCAUUUCUGAAGCCUCUCACCCCCUCUCAAAGCCUCCUCACAUCCCCUAAGCUCUAAGCUCUCUCUCCCUCUUCAGCAGAGAAAUACAAUACAAUCAGUGUGGACGUAGCCCAAACCUUGGGGUGAACCACGAUAUAUCUUGUGUUAUUUACAUUACUUGCAGAUUCACGGUCGGAUUUACGUUGUACCAAGACCAUCCGGUUUUGUGCAUCAACAUUUGGCGCCGUCUGUGGGAAUCGAUACAAAAACUAUGUCGGUUCUCUUUCAUUUUUUUUCACCUCUGCCGUGAUUCUGCAGAAACACUAAACCAAAAUCUCAGCCCAUCUCUCUCUCUCUAGAAACCCAGAAAUGGCCCAAAAAUCCAUUUCCAAAACCACAUUCAAAAACAAGUUUUAGAAACAGCCCAUUGGGCAUGCCAAGACACACUCUCUCAUUCUCUCUCAUCACUCCAGUAGAGUCGAGACAAGACGAAGAAGACCAGAAAAAUUCACCUCUCUCGUCUUGCCUAUCCAAUCUCAAAACCCUUUCUUUCUGCACAAAGAGCGACGCUCGACCUCAUGGACCUGCUCCGACCCAAUCUAUCCCGGGUACGGAUCCUGGAACCCACCAACCGCAUCUACAAGCACCGCCUGAUCUCUUCCGACGACUCCAUCUCCGGCAAGAAAGGCACUGGUUCUGCCAAAUCUAGCAAGGCAGAUUCAGGGAAUCAAAUCUCUCAUCUCUGUCUUGUCUCUCUACCUUGAUCAAUGACGUGAUGGAGCUCAAGGCUUGGAUUGGUUAAAUGAUGGAGGAACUCAACGUCGGCCUCUGCAAUAGGAGCUCGGCAGUGACAGGAUCCCGACCUGGUGACUUGUACAGACACCCAGCGCACGACUCAGGCGGGUCGACCAGGUCAGAGAACCUCGCCAGGUCCGACUGCCUGGAUUGAUACGGGGCUCCGGCAAGAAAAGCAACACGAAAGAGCGGCGAAAUCGAACGGCUCGAUUGAUAAAGAACGGGUCAACUCAGAAGGAACUCGGAAGAAGAUCAGGCUGGGGUAGGCGAGGGUUUGGCGCUGCCAAGUGUGGGAACGACGGCAGGCUGGGACGAAAAAUUACGUUUUGUUCUCUAAGGUUGGCGCUGCUGCGUUUAUUUCUGUUAAAGAGAAUGAGGAGGACGAGGCCGGCGAAGCUUUGUAUUCCGGUGGUGUCCCCGGGAUUUGGGUCUGCUCCGCCGACGCCGUCGACGACAGGUUGGAGAGAGGUGAUGGAGGAUCGCUACUCAGCUAGUCUUAAUCUUGAAGGUGAUCCCAAACAGCUUUGUGCGGAAUUGUGAGAGAUCAAACAAUUUCAUUUCCCAAUUUCUCCCAGAAAGUUCACUUUUCUUAUCUUUCCGAGAAAGAUCGGAUUUCAAAUUUUCAAAAUUCAUAGGAACUGUUGAAAGCCGGGAGGAUCACAUCACCGACUCGAACGGCUGAGAGUCAGAGAAGAAGCAGUAAAACUUUCGAUACUUGACGCUACUCGGCUCCAGAUCGAAUAAGCUCUACUGGAUUUUUCCCCUUUUUUGUGAUCUGCUACCUUCUCAGUAGCCAAACGCUGGGAAAUUAGCUGCUGCCAUUUUUGUAGUGUUUGAAGUUCUCAGAUAUUUCUGGAUCGUCAACCCCGACUCCGACGAUGAGGACCACCGUGAUUCCAGAUAUUUCUGCACUGCUUCUCUGCCCAUCUUCAGCCCAAUUCUUGGUCUGACGGUUCUCUGCUCAUCCCCCGACUCUCCUCGGCCGACUCUGACUCCAAGUCAUCCGCAUCAGAGGGCGUGGUCAUCGAGGAACCCUGGGCGUUUCGUUCCCCGAGCAAGAUCGCGAGUUUCUCUUCUUCCGAAAUGAACGACACUAGUCCUCUUGUCGUAGAUGUGCAGCGCACGACGCCUACCACUCUUACGACGCCGUUUUAUUCGUUGCCGGAAACGUACUUGUCACCGGGGAUCGAAAAUUUUGCGAGCCCUUUGAGCCAGGCGCAGAGGGAGGAGAGGGAUGAUAGCUCUAUAGCUGCUCAUAGCAUAUCCGGGAGGUUCCCUUCGGUCUCUUUGUUCAAGGAGUAUAAGAAUGCAGCUAUGGCGAUUCUAGAGAAAACAGAUUACACUAUGAUUUAUGGGCAUCAUUUCAUCAAAAAGUCAGGGUGGUAAGUUCUCAGAUGGACGGGGCGCAUGCGACCGGCGUGAGAAGAGAUUCAAUAAAACCAGCAGAGAAAAGGAAAAAGGAGAAAUGAUGAUGGCUAUUGCUGCUAGUGGCCUUAAAAGCUGCUUUUUGACUUUCCAGAAGAUGCUGUAAAGACAAGUCUAUGCCUCCGCCAUUUGCAAUCUGCAAAAGUAAAGCAAAGUAAAGAGCACUUCACUUUACUUUUGUCUGCCAUCUGCAAAGGCUAAUGCACCUGGACCUCAGCAAGAGCAAGAGAAUAAUAAAUGCAGCGCAAGGAAAAGAGAAAGAAAAGGGAAAGUAAAAGCAAAGCAAAGUAAAAGAGCAAAGCAGAAAGCAUGGCUACCCUUUCAACAUGAGAUUUGCGGUGGAAAAGAGCAAAGCAGAAAGCAUGGCUACCCUUUCAACAUGAGAUUUGCGGUGGAAAAGAGCAAAGCAGAAAAUAUGGCUACCCACUGAGAUAAUUACAAAAGUAGAAAAGAAAGAGAAAAACAAAAGUAAGGAAUAAACAUUCCACCAGAAUGAUAUAAACAUCUGUAUAAACCCCAUCAGAGGGUAAUAAUACAAAAAAAAAAAAACGGCAAAGCCCAAAAUUAAUGGGCUGGAAUGUUGUGGAGGGCGAAGGCCCAUAAGCCCAAAAUAACACCAACCAGGUGAUCAAAAGUACGCCUAGUACUCCAAAUCAUACAUGAGCACUACUCAUGUCAUUCAUACAUAAACAUUCAUGAGCAUCACUCAUGAUCAUCAUUCAUGUCAACAUUCAUGAGCAUCACUCAUGUCAACAUUCAUGAGCAUCACUCAUGUUAACAUUCAUGAGCAUCACUCAUGACAACAUCCAUGAGCAUCACUCAUGUCAAUCAACAUAAACAUUCAUGAGCAUCACUCAUGUCAAUCAGCUUCAAAAAAGCUUCAUUUACAGAGCUUUAGCUUCAAAAGCUUCAUUUACAGAGCUCUAGAUUCAAAAGCUUCAUUUAUAAAAGCUCCAGCUUCGAAAGCUUCAUUUACAGAGCUCUAGCUUCCAAGCUUCACUUGCAAAGCUUCACCUACAAAGCUUCAGUGCAGGGUAUACAAACACCGCCUCCGAACAACCACCACUUCGGCCCAUACAUGGAUUCAAUUUGAAGUCUCCAGCCAACAGACUCUAUUGACCGAAGACUUGGGGGACUACAUUAUGUACCAUAUAUUGGGCCUCAACUGGGCCUCAUGAAAAAUACUUGGGAGACUCUAGCCCAUCACUUAUGUAUUGAGGAGUGAGCCCUUAUUCUAUAAAAGGGAAUCCCUCACUUUCAUUAGAGAGCACCCAUUAUUCAUGUACUGAGGAGUGAACCCUUAUUUUAUAAAAGGGACUCCCUCACCUUCAUUAGAGAGAAACGCUGCCAGCUGAGCAACCGCCUCGUCGCGAGCAUCAACUCUAGCCCAUCAUUUAUGUAUUGAGGAACGAGCCCUUAUUCUAUAAAAGGGACUCCCUCACCUUCAACACCACAAGCCGAGCCAACCAAGGCAAUAUAAGCUACAAGCAAAGCGGCCUCACAACAUGUGCUACUUCUAGUUGAACAUCAUUUCAGAUUGGGCACCGCCUCAUAUCGAGCAUCAGUUCUAGACGACAUCUAGUUACUUCGGCCCACACAUGGACUGAAUUUCAAGUCUCCAGCCAAAAGACUCUCUUGACUGAAGACUUGGGGGACUACUGUUUAUACCAUAUUUAGGGCCUCGUAUUUAGAUCUCGUACAAAUACUCAGGGGACUUAAAUGUAAUUAUGGGAUAAAUGAAGGGGCAAAUAUGUAAUAAGUGAGGAGUCCUUAUUCUAUAAAAGGACCCCUCACCCUCACAAUUAGGAAGAGGCUCAUUCUCACCCUCAGAGGCCAUUUCUGAAGCCUCUCACCCCCUCUCAAAGCCUCCUCACAUCCCCUAAGCUCUAAGCUCUCUCUCCCUCUUCAGCAGAGAAAUACAAUACAAUCAGUGUGGACGUAGCCCAAACCUUGGGGUGAACCACGAUAUAUCUUGUGUUAUUUACAUUACUUGCAGAUUCACGGUCGGAUUUACGUUGUACCAAGACCAUCCGGUUUUGUGCAUCAACAAAGUGUAUAUGGAUUUUCCUCCGGGUAUAAUGCUGAAGGGAAAACCAGAGUAUGUAGGUUGCAAAAGUCGCUUUAUGGACUUAAGCAAUCACCUCAUGCAUGGUUUGGUAGAUUUACUCAAGUUAUCAGAAUGAAUGGAUAUUAUCAGAGUCACUCCAACCAUACGUUGUUUGUAAAACGGAGAAGCGGUAAAGUGACAGCCUUAAUUAUUUAUGUGGAUGACAUGAUAAAAACAAGUGAUAAUUCGAAAGAGAUGAUGAAGCUGGAAGCAAGUCUUGUCGCCAAGUUCGAGAUGAAGAAUUUGGGAGACAAAAUAUUUCUUGGAGUAGAAGUGGCUAGUUCAUCUUGAGGUAUUUUCUUGUCUCAACGUAAAUAUGUUAUGGAUUUAUUAAAGAAGACAGGCAUGCUGAGAUGUAAACCGGUGGACACUCCUAUUGUAGAGAAGCAUUAUUUAGGGAUUUAUCUAGAUCAAGUACCGGUAGCCAAAGGCAGAUAUCAGAGACUGGUAGGGAGACUAAUUUAUUUGUCCCACACUCGUCCGGAUAUUACUUAUGCAGUAAGUGUGGUGAGUCAAUUUAUGCACUUGUCGAGUGUGGAGCAUAUGGCGGCAGUUAUGAGGAUUCUUGCGUAUUUAAAUUCUGCUCCUGGAAAGGGAAUUUUGUAUAAGCCUCAUGGACACAUGAGGAUUGAGGGAUUUACUGAUGUUGAUUGGGUAGGUGAUGUGACUGAUAGGUGUUCUACGUCUGGAUAUUUUACAUUCGUUGGAGGAAAUUUGGUUACUUGGCAGAGCAAGAAAUAGAGGGUGGUGUCUCGAUCUUCUGCCGAGGCCGAAUACAGGGGCAUGGCACAUUGUGUGUGCGAGAUUCUUUGGCUACAGAAGUUACUUUGGAGUCUCGGAUUUAAACAAGAAGAGGCAAUGAAAUUGUAUUGUGACAAGUUGACAAGAGAGAUAGCACAGAAUCCAGUACAACAUGAUAUGACUAAGUAUGUUGAGGUUGAUUGACAUUUCAUUAAAGAAAAGCUUGAGAAGAAGACUGUUUCAAUAUUGUUUGUGAACUCUGAAGAACAACUUGCAGAUGUUCUUACUCAUGCCGUGUGUAGUAGAGCUUUUGAUGACUCACCUAUCAAGUUGGGCAUAUGUGAUAUCUAUGCACCAACUUGAGGGGGAGUAUUGCGUGAGUGAAUGUAUAGGAAAAAGGAAUGUAAAUAUUGUGUAAAUAUUAGUCAUGUUUUAGGAAGGUAAUAUUAGUGUCCUUUAUUGUUUCCUUAUGUAAUAAGAAUUGUAUGUACUUGUAUUCAGAAUUAUGGAAUACAUGAAAAUUAAGCUGUAAAAUUCUAUUACAAAACUUGACAAACAAAUAACAACAACAACAACAAAGCCUUUUUCCACUAAGUGGGGUCGGCUAUAUGAAUCCUAGACCGCCAUUGCGCUCGGUUUUGUAUCAUGUCCUCCGUUAGAUCUAAGUACUCCAAAAGCAAUAUUUAUCCAUUACAAACAAAUACGAACAUAAAACUCCAGAGGCAUUAUUUAUCCAUUACUAAUAGAUGGCAGCUGAUAAGGAAAACCACUUCAACAAAUCUUGAUGAGGCCACUCACUUGACAUGGUUCAAGAACCACUUCAACAAAUCUUGAUGAGCCUCCUCGGCAGAUUUACAAGCUGCUUCGUCUUUAACACUGUACCUCACCGUCCACCCAUGUGACACUUUCGGGAAUAUUUUCACAUGGCUCUUAACCUGUGAUUCCACAAAACCAACAAUCGUUUCAACAAAUUUCAAAAGUUUACCACUACAAGCUACCAUAGUGGUGAAUCCUAAUGUGAAGGAGGGUGUUUUUCGUGUUGUCCUAUCAUUUCUUCAAAAAGAACAAUAUGAAAAUGUUUUCAAAGUUCGUACAAAACGGUAUAUGACCCUGAUUGGAAAUUAAAAUAGAAUAUCUUAACGUAGCAUAUAAGCUCACUGGCCCCCUUCCCUUACAAGUCGUUUUUGUAAGGGCAAGUUACCUAUAACUAUAAUCCAUGCAUAAUUAUAUUUCAUAAUAUGAUAGAACAAGUUCACCAUGCAUCCCAAGUUGAGGAAUGUCCUUGAUUAGAAUAAACAAACUAACAAAGCCACAAAAGUAUUGAAGACAGUUCGGAUGAAGGAGAUUCCUACCUCAGGUUUUGCAGUUAAAACCUCUUCAAACUGUUUCACGACUUCAGGCGGAGACAUCCGAUCAAUCUCAGCUCCAAGUAUAGAAAUAGGAACCUUAACCUCUGAAAGUAAGUCCAGGAAUAGGUCAUAAAGUGAGUGUGAGACUAAUUUUUUGUUCCAAUAAUGGUGUAUAUAUUUCCUGAAUAUUAGUACAGGUAUCUUACCCUUGAUAUCAUCCACAGUGACUAAUGACGGAUGACACAGAACAGCAGCUUGAAUUGAAGCGUGCUUUGAAAGUUCAACCACAACCUUGGCUGAAAACAGUGCAAAUAGUUCAAUGUCAACCGAAACAAUAUUCUCCAAUUGGUUGAACUACUGAAACAAGAGUGAUAAGUAAAACAUUGCCUAAACAUUAUCCAAAUGUCUAAACGAGAAACGUUUUUGUUACACUCAAAAAGCAACAAAUUAAAUUUAUAUAAGGACAAAUGAAAUAGAGCAACUAAGAUGUUAACGAGAAAUGAACGUGAACUCACCUCCCCAACAGAAGCCUGCAGCACCGAUUGCAGAAACACCUUUACUUUUUAAAGCUUCAAGAACUGGCUUUGCAUCCUCAAAUCCCUUGUCCUAUCAAUCCCAAAACAAGAUUCAGAAGCUAACAAUACUUGAACAUACAUAUCCAAAUUGCAGAAAAACUUCUAUAACACCCCAAUGCCAGGGACUCGUAAUUUAACCAUUGUCACAAAAUGUGUAAUCAGCCUAGUAGUGAACAACCACAAAAAGUUUUAACAUAACAACUGCGACUCCCAAGCUGAACCCACACACAUAAGCAUAUAAAAUAUUUUUAAAAACUCAAGAAUUGCAUAGGGAGACUUGUAAAAGAACUUUGAUCGUUAAAGAAACAAAACAGAUAUGCAUAAAAGUAGACACAAUAACAAAAGAACCAACCGGUCCAUGAUCUUUUAUCCAAACAGAAAUAGGUCUGUUGGCAUCUUCAGGUGCAUAAGGGUCUUUGUUAAGGAAGUCAGGAACCACAACGAAGAACCCAGCAGCUGCAACUUUGUCAGCAAGCUUCCUUCACAAUGGAAGGCAGGUGGCAUUAGUUAAAGGGUAUAGGAUAAUAUGGAAACACCGAACAACAUGAAAAUAUCUGAAGUCGGUAACUGGCACAUGAAAUUUUAUCCUUCUGUAAAUUAUAGAGUGAACAAUCUAAAAAUACAGGUAUAGAUCUUCAAACCAUCAUGAAAGGUUAUUGUAAAAGUCAGGGGAUCCGACAAUUGUUAUACGAUAUCUGAUACUCAUAGACAAUCCGAAACUAUUGGUUGCAACUAUCUUUCAAAAAUAAGUCAGAUAUAGAUAUAGAAUCAUAGAUUACAGACCUACUGUAACUUUUUCUUUUUUUUUUCUUCCUUAACGAUUGAAUUAUUUCAAGUAAACUGUUCAUCAAAUUUAAGUAGCAAGUGUAAAUAUCCGAAAGCGAAAAGUCAUCAUACCUCAAGUUUGGAGCUUCAAAUCCUGAAUGACAAAGAAAACAUUCAACAUUACAAAGCAGUUAUACAAAACACACACUUUCAUCACAGAUUUGAACAACACAUAAGCUAGAUUAUCAAGACUUUAUCAGAAUUGGAGGGAAAAAAAUCCAAAAAUUCAAAGGGGAAGGGAAAAUGUCAUAAAUUUAGGAAACCCAUCAACAAACAUAGCCUAAAAAUCAAUACCCAUUAAACCAAAAACCCAUAUAAAAAUAGACAACAAGGAAACAAACCCAUGUCGUAGAAUGAAGAAAGGAGAGGUUUUUUAAGUGGUGGGAAAGUUACCAUAAACGUCAGAGAUGAGAAGAACGGCAAGGUUGGAAUCAGGGGAGCCAGUGACAUAGGAGUCCAGACCGCCGAGGCUUUCGACAUGGCCGGUGCCGCUGGAGGGGUUCAGGGUCGGAGGGUUUGAGCAGCACUCAGAGCUUGCCAUUAUUUCUUUCCUUUUCUCUCCCUGAAUUCACACUCUUUGUCGGUGUUUGAUUGAGCUAGGGAUUUGGAUCCUCUCCUGAGCUAAUGGAGAGGAUCCUCCUGACCAAAUGUUGUGCAUCGUUGAAUUUUUAUCCAACGGCUAUAAACAGAUGGGUCUUUUAAAGUUAUAAUAAUUAUAACAGUUGGAUGAAAAUUCAACGGCCCAUAACACUUGGUCAGGAGGAUCCUCUCUAUUAGCUCAGGAGAGGAUCCAAAUCCCCGCACAGCGGAGACUAUAUUUAAAUAUAAUUAUUAUUAAGUAUUACAGUACUACCACGCCGUCCAUGAUGCUUACAUUUAGGGAUAUGAUAUCCACACACUUCUUUUUACUUCUCCCACACUUUUUUAGUUUUUGACCGUCGGAUCGGAUGAAUCGAAGAAAAUCAACGAACAGAAAUUAACAAGGGGUGUGUGAGAAGUAAAAAUGGAUGUGUGAAUAGCACACCCCUCAUUUAUAAUUUGAUAUUAACCGUUUAUUUGUUUUUUUUGGCUGAACUUUCAACUUGUUUUAAAAAAUUACCAAUUAAAUAAAAAGAAAAUAUCACCCGUCCAUCCUCAUCUCCCAUUUGGAUUCAUCAUGGGUGAAUAACGUGGAAGCAGUUCAAGUACCAACCCGAGUUAAUGAGGCAUUGAAGGAUCCGAAAUGGGCUACUGAAAUGGAUGAAGAAAUGAUGGCACUACAUAAGAAUGAUACAUGGGAAGUAAUGGAACUACCAAAGGGGAAAGGGCCGGUCGGAUGUAGAUGGGUCUUUACAAUUAAAUACAAGGCCGACAGAUCAAUAGACAAGUAUAAAGCAAGGUUAGUGGCAAAAGGUUAUACUCAAACGUACAAUGUUGAUUACCAAGAAACCUUUUCUUCAGUAGCAAAGAUGAAUACAAUACGGGGUUCCUAUUUCACUAGCUGCAAAUUUGAAUUGGUCACUGAAACAAUUUGAUGUUAAAAAGAAGUGUUUAUGGAUUUUCCUCUGAGUAUAAUGCUGAAGGGAAAACCGAAGUAUGUAGGUUGCAAAAGUCUCUUUCUGGACUUAAGCAAUCACCUCGUGCAUGGUUUGGUAGAUUUACUCAAGUUAUGAGAAGGAAGGGAUAUUAUCAUAGUCACUCUGACCAUACAUUGUUUGUAAAAUGGAGAAGUGGUAAUGUGACAACCUUAAUUAUUUAUGUGGAUGACAUGAUAAUAACAGGUGAUGAUUUGGAAGAGAUGAUGAAGCUGGAAGCAAGUCUUGCCGCCGAGUUCGAGAUGAAGAAUUUGGGAGACAAAAUAUUUUCUUGGAGUAGAAGUGGCUAGUUCAUCUUGAGGUAUUUUCUUGUCUCAACGUAAAUAUGUUAUGGAUUUAUUAAAAGAGACAGACAUGCUGGGAUGUAAACCGGUGGACACUCCUAUUGUAGAGAAGCAUUAUUUAGGGAUUUAUCUAGAUCAAGAAUCGGUUGACAAAGGCAGAUAUCAGAGACUGGUAGGGAGAGUAAUUUAUUUGUCCCACACUCGUUCGGAUAUUGCCUAUGCAGUAAGUGUGGUGAGUCAAUUUAUGCACUCGCCGAGUGUGGAGCAUAUGGCGACAAUUAUGAGGAUUCUAGCGUAUUUAAAGUCUGCUCCUGGAAAGGGAAUCCUGUAUAAGCCUCAUGGACACGUGAGGAUUGAGGGAUUAACUAAUGCUAAUUGGGCAUGUGAUGUGAUUGAUAGGCGUUCUACGUCUGGAUAUUUUACAUUCGUUGGAGAAAAUUUGGUUACUUGGCAGAGCAAGAAACAGAGGGUGGUGUCUCAAUCUUCUGCUGAGGCGGAAUACAGGAGCAUGGCGCAUGGUGUGUGCAAGAUUCUUUGGCUACGGAAGUUGAUUUGAAGUCUCGGAUUUAAACAAGAAGAGGCAAUGAAAUUGUAUUGUGACAAGUCGGCAAGAGAGAUAGCAGAGAAUCCAGUACAACAUGAUACAACUAAGUAUGUUGAGGUUGAUCGACAUUUCAUUAAAGAAAAGCUUGAGAAGAAGAUUGUUUCAAUACCAUUUGUGAAAUCGGAAGAACAACUUUCAGAUGUUCUUACUCAUGCCGUGUGUAGUAGAGCUUUUGAUGACUUACCUAUCAAGUUGGGCAUGUGUGAUAUCUAUGCACCAACUUGAGGAGGAGUAUUGCAUGAGUCACUGUAUAGGAAAAGAGAAUGUAAAUAUUGUGUAAAUAUUAGUCAUGUUUUAGGAAGGUAAUAUUAAUGUCCUUUAUUGUUUCCUUAUGUAAUAAGGAUUGUAUGUACUUAUAUUCAAAAUUAUGGAAUACAUGAAAAUUAAGCUGUAAAAUUCUAUUACAAAACUUUAAACAAAUACGAACAUAAAACUCCAGAGGCAUUAUUUAUCCAUUACUAAUAGAUAGCAGCUGAUAAGGAAAACCACUUCAACAAAUCUUGAUGAGGCCACUCACUUGACAUGGUUCAAGAACCACUUCAACAAAUCUUGAUGAGCCUCCUCGGCAGACUUACAAGCUGCUUCGUCUUCAACACUGUACCUCACCGUCCACCCAUGUGACACUUUCGGGAAUAUUUUCACAUGGCUCUUAACCUGUGAUUCCACAAAACCAACAAUCGUUUCAACAAAUUUCAAAAGUUUACCACUACAAGCUACCACAGUGGUGAAUCCUAAUGUGAAGGGGGGUGUUUUUGGUGUUGUCCUAUCAUUUCUUCAAAAAGAACAAAAUGAAAAUGUUUUCAAAGUUCGUACAAAACGGUAUAUGACCCUGAUUGGAAAUUAAAAUAUAAUAUCUUAACGUAGUAUAUAAGCUCACUGGCCCCCUUCCCUUACAAGUCAUAUUUGUAAGGGCAAGUUACCUAUAACUAUAAGCCAUGCAUAAUUAUAUUUCAUAAUAUGAUAGAAAAAGUUCGCCAUGCAUCCCAAGUUGAGGAAUGUCCAUGAUUAGAAUAAACAAACUAACAAAGCCACAAAAGUAUUGAAGACUAUUCGGAUGAAGGAGAUUUCUACCUCAGGUUUUGCAGUUAAAACCUCUUCAAACUGUUUCACGACUUCAGGCGGAGACAUCUGAUCAAUCUCAGCUCCAAGUACAGAAAUAGGAACCUUAACCUCUGAAAGUAAGUCCAGGAAUAGAUCAUAAAGUGAGUGUGAGACUAAUUUUUUGUUCCAAUAAUGGAUUAGAUAUUUCCUGAAUAUUACUACAGGUAUCUUACCCUUGAUAUCAUCCACAGUGACUAAUGAUGGAUGACACAGAACAGCAGCUUGAAUUAAAGCGUGCUUUGAAAGUUCAACCACAACCUUGGCUGAAAACAGCGCAAAUAGUUCAAUGUCAGCUGAAACAAUAUUUUCCAUAUUGGUUGAACUACUGAAACAAGAGUGAUAAGUAAAACAUUGCCUAAACAUUAUCCAAAUGUCUAAACGAGAAACAUUUUUGUUACACUCAAAAAGCAACAAAUUAAAUAUAUACAAGGAAAAAUGAAAUAGAGCAACUAAGAUGUUAACGAGAAAUGAACGUGAACUCACCUCCCCAACAGAAGCCUGCAGCACCGAUUGCAGAAACACCUUUACUUUUUAAAGCUUCAAGAACUGGCUUUGCAUCCUCAAAUCCCUUGUCCUAUCAAUCCCAAAACAAGAUUCAGAAGCUAACAAUACUUGGAACAUAUCCAAAUUGCAGAAAAACUUUUAUAACACCCCAAUGCCAGGGACUCGUAAUUUAACCAUUGUCACAAAAGGUGGAAUCAGCCUAGUAGUGAACAACCAUAAAAAGUUUUAACAUAACAACAGUCUUCAUGCACUCCCAAGCUGAACCCACACACAUAAGCAUAUAAAAUAUUUUUAAAAACUCAAGAAUUGCAUAGGGAGACUUGUAAAAGCACUUUGAUCGUUAAAGAAACAAAACAGAUAUGCAUAAAAGUAGACACAAUAACAAAAGAACCAACCGGUCCAUGAUCUUUUAUCCAAACGGAAAUAGGUCUGUUGGCAUCUUCAGGUGCAUAAGGGUCUUUGUUAAGGAAGUCGGGAACCACAACGAAGAACCCAGCAGCUGCAACUUUGUCAGCAAGCUUCCUUCACAAUGGAAGGCAAGUGGCAUUAGUUAAAGGGUACAGGAUAUUAUGGAAACACCGAACAACAUGAAAAUAUCUGAAGUCGGUAACUGGCACGUGAAAUUUUAUCCUUCUGUAAAUUAUAGAGUGAACAAUCUAAAAAUACAGGUAUAGAUCUUCAAACCAUCAUGAAAGGUUAUUGUAAAAGUCAGGGGAUCCGACAAUUGUUAUACGAUAUCUGAUACUCAUAGACAAUCCGAAACUAUUGGUUGCAACUAUCUUUCAAAAAUAAGUCAGAUAUAGAUAUAGAAUCAUAGAUUACAGACCUACUGUAAUUUUUUUUUUUUUUUUCCUUCCUUAACGAUUGAAUUAUUUCAAUUAAACUGCUCAUCAAAUUUAAGCAGCAAGUGUAAAUAUCCGAAAGCGAAAAGUCAUCACACCUCAAGUUUGGAGCUUCAAAUCCUGAAUGACAAAGCAAACAUUCAACAUUACGAAGCAGUUAUACAAAACAGACACUUUCAUCAAAAAAUUGAACAACACAUAAGCUAGAUUAUCAAGACUUUAUCAGAAUUGGAGGGAAAAAAUCCAAAAAUUCAAAGGGGAAGGGAAAAUGUCAUAAAUUUAGGAAACCCAUCAACAAACAUAGCCUAAAAAUCAACACCCAUUAAACCAAAAACCCAUAUAAAAAUGGACAACAAGGAAACAAACCCAUGUCGUAGAAUGAAGAAAGGAGAGGUUUUUUAAGUGGUGGAAAAGUUACCGUAAAUGUCAGAGAUGAGAAGAACAGCAAGGUUGGAAUCAGGGGAGCCAGUGACAUAGGAGUCGAGACCGCCGAGGCUUUCGACAUGGCCGGUGCCGCUGGAGGGGUUCAGGGUCGGAGGGUUUGAGCAGCACUCAGAGCUUGCCAUGAUUUCUUUCCUUUUCUCUGCCUGAAUUCACACUCUUUGUUGGUGUUCGAUUGAGCUAGCACAGCGGAGACUAUAUUUAAAUAUAAAAAUUAUCAAGUAUUACAGUACUACCACGUCGUCCAUGAUGCUUUCAUUUAUAAUUUGAUAUUAACCGUUUAUUUGUUUUUUUUUUUUGCUGAACUUUCAACUUGUUUUAAAAAAUUACCAGUUAAAUAAAAAGAAAAUAUCACCCGUCAUCCUCAUCUCCCAUUUGUAUUCCACCAAACAGUUAAAUUUCGUGAAUAUUUUUGCAAAAAAAAAAAAAUUAAUUCUUUUUCAUUUUGAUUGGAGGAUCAUUUUCCACUUAAUUCAUUAAGUUCGGGAUCUGAGCCGUUCAAAUUUGAUCUAACGAUUACAGUUAUUAUAACUUUUAAAGAUCACCUUAUUUGUAGCCGUUUGAUCAAAUUUCAACAGUCAAAAUCACAAACUUAAUGAAUUAGGUGAAAAGGAAUCCGGAUAAUCCCUUUCCGUUUUGAUUGAUUCUCAUUGAAUUUCAAGUGACAUGGGAGACUUCUUUUAUAUUUUGUUUUUUAUUGAAUUCUUUACUUUUUCAAUGACGGGAUGAAUGACGUAAGCCUAAUGCGAAAAGUCUGAGGAGAAUUGCUAAGAGCUAGAGUCCAGGACUACAAGACUUCAAGAACGUGUUUACGUGUUCGAUAUCAGAAUCAAAGGUCAGUGUGAUUCUGAUUACGGGUUAUUUUUGUAUUUAAAAAAAUUUGGAUGAAUCAAAAUGGGUGGGGCCCACUUGAAAUAUAGGAAUUGAAUUCUUGAUUUUGAAGGAAUUGAACUCCUGAGUAGGAUGUGUCAUUUGAAUUCCGUCUAAUUCCUAAAAACUCCAUCUAAUUCCUAAAAACUCCAAAUCUGCCACUCAAAUCAACAAGCCCAGACCUCUCUGCUUGCCUCCCAUUCACCUCCCCGUGCCCCAGUGAACCAAUCUCAAGAAUCCUAGAGCGUCUUCAGAUAUCGUAGUGAGCUGGUUGUUCUUUGGUUGUGGCAUCGUGGUCGUGUGGGGAUGGAGGUGCAACGAGCGAGAGAGAUCAAUGGAUGCGCAUGAAAUGAUGAUGAAGGAUCCACAAAAAAUAAAAUGGAGGAGAGGGAGGGAGAGAAUGGUGGCAAGGGUUAGCAGGGCGACCGUCCAAGGCCUAAAAAACUCGAGGGGCACCAAAAAUUGAUAGAGUAGUAUAUUCAUAUAUAUUUCCAUAAGCAUAUAAAUUUUGAAACCUUGGUUAAAUCAAUAAGAACUUUAGGCAGGAGUGGUGGUGUUUCGCUGCCAACUUAACAAGACGAUGUUGUGUUCGAAACCCGAUAUGUUCAUUUUUUUUUCCAAUUUUUUACGAUAUUCUGUUAAUUUGCACAACAAACUAAACAUUUAACUUAAUGCUAAGAACUCAUUAAAAUACAAAUAAUUAAUAAAACAAUACAUUAGAAAUAUGGUGCCCAACACCUAUUAAUGUUCUUCCUCAACCCUUUUGUCGUUUCUUUUAACUUCCCUGGGAAGCGGCCAUAAGCCAUGCCUCUCAAUUUCUCUUAUUUUAUUUAUGAAGAAAUAUAAUUCUUGAAAAAAUAAUUUUACAGUAACAAUCACAUAUGGUUGUAGGUCGGAGAAAAUUGCAAAGGCAUAGGGAGGAAGAGGUAGAAUUGAAGGAUUUUGAUGACAAAUUUACCUAGCUAACGAAUUUCAGAAAAAAUUAUGAAAAAAAUGUCAUUAGUUCUACAAGAUUUAGGGGUUAAAGUGUGAACGAUGAGAGGUUCUUGUCGAGAGGCAUAGUUGUUGCGACCCGUGGAGGAAGUGAAAGAGAUAAAAGUGAAGGAAUAAAAGUUAAAGUUCGAGGAAGAACAAAGAUAAGUGGUGGGACUCAGAAUUCUAAUUAUCUUUAAUUCUCUCAUGCAUUGCUUAUACAUUUCAAUUAAAAACUCAAAAAUAUGAUAUAUAUUUUUUAGUCACAUAUUGACAAAGUAAGUAAAUAAGAAAAAACACCUCACAAUUUUAUAUAAAAGCACUCCAAAAUUUCGAGGGGAAACAUCUACUUGUAAGCCGGGGUUUUUUUGGUUCCCUUCUCUCAAACCAAAUGUUGUGUCAUCAAUAGAAAUAAGCACGUUAAUCAACCCUUAAAUAAUAAUCCAAUUAUCAACUUCCAUGUUAUUUAGUUUACCAUAUUUUGUCUACAAAUUUAGUCUUCUUAACAUUACCCUUUCCAAAUUAUUAAAUUUGGUGUGCUUUUUCUAUGUGUUAUUUUAUCGAAAUCUUACCUGUAAAAACAAAUCAUUUUUAUUAUAUAUGGAGUUAGGACAUAUUUUUUUAUGUCGUCCUGGGCCUCAAAAAUCUCAGGACCGGCUCUGAAUGGUGGCGGUAGUGACUGUUGAGGACUGACGAAGGAUACUGGGGAGAAGAGAAAAGACGUGAAAAAUUAGGUUUCAAAAGGCAGAAAACUUGGGAAGUUAUGGGGUUGGUAUAAAAAAUUGGGAGUUUUAACGAAACACUCCCGAUACUAUUCACUUUUAAUGAAAAACCACAUUUUUACCUUUUUCUGGUACUAUUCACUACACUUUUAUUUGUCAUUUUUCAUUAAAACUAAAAAAAAAUUGGAUUUUUAGUGAGUUUUUCUUUAAAAAAUUGGGUUUGAAAAGGUGUUGACCCUAAAAACUACUAAGCCUACGUGGCGCGCAGGCCGAGUAAUUUAUAAGCUAAUUACGUCAUUCGGUUGAAUGCGGGGCGUGCCAACUCGUCGGCCGAGCUUGGCCGAGGAGUAAAAUUUAUCGAUGUUGCGUUGGGUGCGCAGCUGACUUCUGCAUCUUGCGAUUGCGACCGAGAAAGGAACACGUCUCGGCCUCUUGGGUUCUCGAACUUGAAGAUAAGGCUACUAUUCUUACGAAGUUCACGAAUCGUCGUCGUUGGAUUCGGUCACAGUGAUGGUAUUCCUCAGAGUAAACUCACGUCGAAUCGACACCAAAGUGUAAGGGCACAAAUACUCAAAGCGGAUAUAAGUCUUAAUAGUGAACGUGGUUCGGCCGUCUGAAUGCCGAACUCCAAAUCCCACUUGAGAGUAUCCAAUCAUAAAAUAACUCAGCGUGCAAUGCGCCGAGCUCAGUAAGUUUUAACACUUCACUUCUCCGAGAAGGCUAAUGAGAUGACCUCGAUCAAUAAGGAUUCGGAAAUCCUUCUCGACCGAGACUUGGAUAGGUAACCAACCACCUUCGCCGCAGUGCUGUUGAUGCCAACGGAAGAUGCUGCGAGAUCGACUAAUUUUACGGCGAUAGAGCUAUCUAUGCCGACUGAAGAUAUCACCGGUUGCUUUCACAGUGCUGUUGAUGCCAACGGAAGAUGUGUCAGCGAAAAGAGAAAAUAAAAAUCUCAAAGUUGUUGAGAGAGUUUGCGUAGGGUAGUUGUGUGUUGAAUUGGAUGGGCUUUCAAUGGUGUUCGCAACCUUGUAUUUAUAGACGCAGAUGUGUGGUGCGGCUUCACACUAGUGUAGGAUUUGAUUUCAAUUCACACUUAUCAGCCAGAGUCCCAGUCAAACACUUCUCAAGGUAAGCAGCAGCCUAUCUUCUAGAUGUCAUCAUUAUCUCCUUAUUUUAUGCAAAUAAUUAACAUGCAUAAUGGCCUCCACAGCUCUGGAACCAAAGCAUGCUGAUAAUUAACAUGCAAGCCUAGCCAUUCACUUCCACAAGACUCGGUAACCCGCCAAAAUCCAAGGAUACAUGCCAUUUGGUGGUCAUUUGCUUUCCAUGUGGAGACCAUCAAAAUAAAACCUUUUUUCAUGCCAUCUUUAUCCAUCCAAACCAUUUCCAACUUUUGCACUGCAUUUAAUGAAAUUAUCACAUGCAUGCAUAAAAAAUCAUGGCUGGUAGUUUUGCAUUAUCUGCAAAACCACCCUGAUCCCAUCACAUCACUUUACUUUGAUUAUUCCACACGUCUACACACAUCCCAACUUAAUUUGAAAUGUACCACUUGCUUAGAGAUAUAAUUCGCAUCUGUCAAGAUAAUUAAAAGAUAAUUAUUAUGAUAAAAACCAUAAUAUUAUCUUUUAACAACAACAAAACUAUCUUCACUUUUCCAUCCAACGGUUGAGAGCUAUGCUCACUCGACGGCCUUGAUUGCACAGGCCGAUGGUGUAAAUUCAAAUUCAGAAGUGAAUUGGUAAACAACUUAUAUGAAACCAACACCAUUCCUAUUCCAUUUCGUGAUAAUUUAGUAAACACCUUUUAUAGGAAUCUGAUUCUAAUUCCUCCCCAAUCCAAUUCUGCAUCAAUAUUCCUUAUCAAUUCAAUUUCUCCCAUUUUGAUUACGGAUUAGUAAAUGAGCCACAAGAGUAUGGCUCCAAACCAAACCCAGUACACCAAGUUGGUCAUUUGUGAAAGUGAAAGGGUCUGUUACGGUUGGAAGUAAAUUGCAGAAUAUGAGUGAUCAGUUGAUGUAUUGUGCAUGCCGAUGAGUUGCAUAUCGCAACUAUCCAUUAAAAGAUCGUAUUAGAGAAAACCGCUUAAUGUAUGGUUCUGUUCGAUUUAGAAUAUAAUUAUUUUUUUUAUGAUGCACUAAUCAACUUCAUCAAACUCAUUAGCAUGAAUUAUACCACUCGCCAAAUACCAAACCUUAAAGCACCACAUUGUUCUGAAACCUCUACUCUUCCAAGCAACAAAUUUUAUAUACAAAUAUUGGUACCAUAAAAAGUGCAGGCAUUAUUCUAAUUCAUAGUAAAUAGAACUCUGUUGAUACGAUAAUGUUUAAAUAAGUCUUGUCUUUUAGAAACAAUAGUGCUUUACAGUGAUGACAAUACCAGUCACUUGACAUGGUUCAGGAGCCCACUCUAGCAAGUCUUGAUGAGCAUCUUCGGGAGCUUUACAAGCCGCUUCGUCUUCAACGUCUUACCUCGUGUUCCACUUUCGGGAAAUUCUUCACAUGGCUUUUAAUCUGCGAUUCCAUAAAACCCCCGGCCAUUCCAAAUAUAUAACGCAAAACAUUGAAGAAAGAAGGUAGAAUAUGUAAGCAUAUAUUGAUGAUUGAAUUAUUAUUUAAGUGUUGAUACACGUGCUUAUUUCUUAUUAGUGACACAUGAUUUAGUUUGUAAAUUUAGUCUACCUAGCAUUAUUCUGUAAACAUUCUUUUGCCUUUGCCCAUCCCUCUUUUUUCCUUUGUAAUUCCCAUCUGUUCCUAACCAAAGUGUGAAAACUGGUUAUCAUGUGCCGGAAACAAAAUCAUUAAGUUUAUAAAACUCCCUUUUUUGGUGGGGGGCACAACUCAUUGGGCAUCUUGAACUAGUACUAUACUUACAUGACACCCAAAUGGUGUUGGGGGUUCUUCCGGGUUACACGGAGGAGGCCGGUCGAGGACCGUCAGUUCAAUCAAACUACAAAACUUUACAAACAUACACUAGUUCAUAAACCUCCAGAGGCAUUAUUUAACCACUACCAAUAGAAAGCAGCUGAUAGGAUAAGGAAAUCCACUACAGUGAUGAUGUCACUCCCUUGACAUGGUUCAAGAGCCACUCCAACAAGUCUUGAUGAGCCUCCUCGGCAGAUUUACAAGCUGCUUCGUCUUCAACAUUGUACCUCACCGUCCACCCGUGUGACACUUUGGGGAAUAUCUUCACAUGGCUCUUAACCUGUGAUUCCACAAAACCAACAAUCGUUUCAACAAAUUUCAAAAGUUUGCCACUACAAGCCACCACAGUGGUGAACCCUAAUGUGAAGGGGGGGGGGGGUGUGUUCCUCGUGUUGUCCUAUCAUUUCUUCACAGAGAACAAAAUUAAAAUGUUUUUGAAGUUCAUACAAAACAGUGUACGACCAUCAUUGGAAAUUAAAUAGAAUGUCUUGGCAUAACAUAUAAGCUCUCUGGCACCCUUCCCUUACAAAGUUACAAGUCAUUUUUGGAAGGGCAAGUUACCUUUAACUACAAGCCAUGCACAAUUAUAUUUCAUUAUAUGAUACACAAAGCAGGCAUCUCAAGUUGAGGAAUGUCCGUGACUAGAAUAAACAACUAACAAAAGCACAAGUACUGAAGACUGUUCGGAUGAAAGAUAUAUUCCUACCUCAGAUUUUGCAGUUAAAACCUCUUCAAACUGUUUCACAACUUCAGGUGGAGAUAUCCGAUCAAACUCAGCUCCAAGUAUAGAAAUAGGAACCUUAACCUCUGAAAGUAGUUCCAGGAAUAGACGAGUGUGAGACUAACUUUUUGUUCCAAUAAUGGUGUCCAAGUAGAUAUUUCCUGAAUAUUAAUACAGAUAUCUUACCCUUUAUAUCAUCCACAGUGACAAAUGUAGGAUGACACAGAACAGCAGCUUGAAUUAAAGCGCGCUUUGCAAGUUCAACCACAACCUUGGCUGAAAACAGCGCAAAUAGUUCAAUGUCGACCGAAACAAUAUUUUCCAUAUUGGUUGAACUAUUGAAACAAGAGUGAUAAGUAAAACACUGCCUAAACAUUAGCCAAAAGUCCAAACGAGAAACAUUUUUGUUACACUGAAAAAGCAACAAAUAACCCACAAAGUAAAUGGAUUAUGGAGAUAAGGAAAAAUAAAAUAGAGCAACCAAGAUGUUAACAGGAAAGGAAAAUGAACUCACCUCCCCAACAGAAGCCUGCAGCACCGAUUGAAGAAACGCCUUUUCUUUUUAAAGCUUCAAGAACUAGCUUUGCAUCCUCAAAUCCCUUGUCCUAUCAAUCCAAAAACCAGAUUUAGAAGCUAACAAUACUUGAACAUACCCAAAUUGCAGAGAAACUUUUAUAACACCCCAAUGCUAGGGACUCGUAACUUAACCAUUGUCACAAAAGCUGGAAUCAGCCUAGUAGUGAACAACCAUAAAAAGUUUUGACAUAAAUAAUCAUGGGAUUGCCAAGCUGAACCCGCACACAUAAGCAUCUAAAAUAUUUUAGUAAACUCAAGAAUUGCAUAGGGAGACUUGUAAAAGUACUUCGAUCAUCAAAGAAACAAAACAGAUAUGCAUAAAAGUAGACAUAACAACAAAAGAACCAACCGGUCUAUGAUCUUUUAUCCAAACAGGAAGAGGUCUAUUGGCAUCUUCAGGUGCAUAAGGAUCUUUGUUAAAGAAGUCGGGAACCACAACAAAGAAUCCAGCAGCUGCUACUUUAUCAGCAAGCUUCCUUCAAAAUGGAAGGCAGGUGGCAUUAGUUAAAGGGUAUACGAUAUUGUGGAAACACGGAAACUACAAAGUGAUUCCACAGUUUUCUUCGAUGAAAAUAGCUGAUGUCGGUAACCGGCACGCGAAAUUUUAUCGUUCUGUACAUUACAGAGUGAACAACCUAAAAAUACAGUUAUAGAUCUUCAAAUCAUCAUAAAAGGUCAUUGCAUAGGCAGGGGAUCGGACAAUAUCUGAUACUGAUAUACAAUCCGAAACUAUUGGUUGUAACUAUCUUUCAAAAUUAAGUUAGAUAUAGAUAUAGAAUCAUAGAUUAUAGACCUAUAGUAACUUUUUUUUUUUUUCUUCCUUAACGAUUGUAUUAUUUCAAGUAAUUACUCAUCAAAUUUAACCAGCAAGUGUCACUGAUGUCCCCGAGUCAAUAUCCGAAAGCGAAAAGGGACAGCAUAAAACGUUCGGGUGCAAGAAAAAGCGAUUCGCAGAAUUCAUCUAGCACAUUAUCCACUGCAAAUAAAAUUAGCAGUCGAAAAACCAAUAAAGAGACUAGUCAACUUGUCAUCAUACCUCAAGUUUGGAGCUUCAAAUCCUGCAUGACAAAGCAAACAUUCAACAUUACAAAGCAGUUAUACAAAACACAAACUUUCAUCACAGAAAUGAACAUCACAUAACCUAGAUUAUCAAGACUUUAUAAAAAAUGGAGGAAAAAAAAAUCCAAAAAUUCAAAUAGAAAUGGAAAAAAUCAUAAAUUUAGGAAACCCAUCAACAAACGCAGCCUAAAAAUGAAUACCCAUUAAACCAAAAACCCAUAAAAAUAACGCAAUAAGGAAAGAAACCCAUGUCGUUGAACGAAGAAAGGAGAGGCUUUUGAAGUGGUGGGGAAGUUACCAAAAACGUCAGAGACGAGGAGAAGGGCAAGUUUGGAGUGAGGGGAGCCAGUGACAUAGGAGUCGAGACCGCCGAGGUUUUCGACAUGGCCGGUGCCGCUGGAGGGGUUCAGGGUCGGAGGGUUUGAGCAGCACUCGGAGCUUGACAUUCUUUCUUCU